CACAGAGUGAAGACACGCCCCCCCCCUGUUGAUUCUCCCCACACCUGGUACCAACUCUAAUCAGCGCACCUGCAGAGGAAACAUACUCAGUCACUUCAGAAAUCCAGAGACAAUGGCCAAGAUCCAAAAAGAGCUGCUUGACCGAAGGAAUGAGCUGGCCGUUUCAUAUCGCAGACAAGUAUUUAAGUUGGAGAUGGAAGUGAGGAAGCAAAGACUGAAGGUAGAGAGGAAAAAAUAGAUAUGAAGAUGUGUGUGAAUGUCUUUUGGUUUAUUUCUUCAUUUUGUUAUGCCUGCUGUGUGUUUGGUGUGUUUUUUGUUCUUUUUGUCUGUCUGUGUGUGUUUCUGUUCCCGCCUACAUUUUCCACAGAGUGAGGACACGCCCCCCCCUGUUGAUUCUCCCCACACCUGGUACCAACUCUAAUCAGCGCACCUGCUGCUCAUCCUGCUCCAUCACCUGCCUUCAAAUGCCAGUCGGACUUUCCUCUCCCUACCCGAUUGUUGCUUACCACUGAAAAUAACCCACCUUGCUGCCAAUAGCCACGCCACGCACUGGAACAUCAAGUCUGCAGCCCCACUUAGGAACACAGCCCAGCACCCUCUCUGCCAGUCCAGCCAUCUUCGGACCCAGCACCCUCUCUGCCAGUCCAGCCAUCUUCGGACCCAGCACCCUCUCUGCCAGUCCGGCCAUCUUCGGACCCAGCACC